CGUGAUGUAGUUUAUAAAAAUAUUUAUUUUACACAUAAAAGAACUCUAUUUAUGAGCUUCACUA
rnacentral:tRNA from 1 species